rnacentral:rRNA from 1 species
UACGGAGGGUGCAAGCGUUAUCCGGAUUCACUGGGUUUAAAGGGUGCGUAGGUGGGCAGGUAAGUCAGUGGUGAAAUCUCCGGGCUUAACCCGGAAACUGCCAUUGAUACUAUUUGUCUUGAAUACCGUGGAGGUCAGCGGAAUAUGUCAUGUAGCGGUGAAGUGCUUAGAUAUGACAUAGAACACCAAUUGCGAAGGCAGCUGGCUACACGAAUAUUGACACUGAUGCACGAAAGCGUGGGGAUCAAACAGG